CCUACGGGGGGCAGCAGUGAGGAAUAUUGGUCAAUGGACGAGAGUCUGAACCAGCCAAGUAGCGUGAAGGAUGACUGCCCUAUGGGUUGUAAACUUCUUUUAUAUGGGAAUAAAACGUUCCACGUGUGGGAUUUUGUAUGUACCAUAUGAAUAAGGAUCGGCUAACUCCGUGCCAGCAGCCGCGGUAAUACGGAGGAUCCGAGCGUUAUCCGGAUUUAUUGGGUUUAAAGGGAGCGUAGGUGGAUUGUUAAGUCAGUUGUGAAAGUUUGCGGCUCAACCGUAAAAUUGCAGUUGAAACUGGCAGUCUUGAGUACAGUAGAGGUGGGCGGAAUUCGUGGUGUAGCGGUGAAAUGCUUAGAUAGCACGAAGAACUCCGAUUGCGAAGGCAGUUCACUGGACUGCAACUGACACUGAGGCUCGAAAGUGUGGGUAUCAAACAGGAUUAGAUACCCUGGUAGUC
rnacentral:rRNA from 1 species